CUGAGCUGUGAAACUCAAGCGCUGUGCACUUCUAGUAGUGAAUGUGACGUAGUGGAGAAGGGGAAGGAACCUGGCAGAAGCAGUGCCACCUCGAUGACAGCAGCCUGCGAGCAGAAGCUCUGCAAAUCCUCCCCCAUGUGAGCAGUGCCGGGACAGAUCACAGCUCUGGAGACAUAACCUGGCUCUGCUCUUUAUCCUAUUCCUGCCUAAUCUUUGCUUGGUCCUUUACGGUGCCUGAAUGAGCAGUGACCGAUGGUGACCGGUGCUUGGGAAAGUCACCACUGGCUGCCAUGGCUCCCGCCUGGCAGAAACUUGCCCAGUCCUGCUGCAUCUGUCCAGGACUUUCUGUAGGUGCAGAAGCACCUGAGCCUCCCAUUGACCCCUCUGGCUGAAGAGCCGAGCUGAGCGACCCCAGGACCUGGCAGGAUGGAGCCCUGGGGUGCCACGCGUGUCACGUAGCAGGUGCCUGGAGCAGCACAUCCAGGGGCCCGGCGGGCGAAUGACAAGCCAGGACUCGGAGCCAAGGAGCCUUCCUGGGCUGUGAGGCAGCUGGAGUGAUGCAGAGCAAGACCUGAGCUCUGCAAACCUAGUGGAAAAUCCAGGGCAGUCCAUGGGAGCCUUUCCACAAGUGUUGACGUGUUUUAGGCCGAGCCUUUGAUUCUGGAGCUGGUCUCAAACUUAUGCUUUUUCAGGUGUUUGCAGACAGGAUUUUGUUUCGGCUCCUCUUUCAGCCUGCCUUACGCAAAAAGCUAUUCCCCAGGGAUCGACACCUACAUUUGUGCUGAGCUCAGGCUGCCGUCCACUCCGGGAGGCCUCUGUGGAGCAGCAUCACUCUCGGCAUCCGAACAGGAGCAGCACCCGCCGCUUCCCCCGUCUCCAGAUCCAUUUUGCAGUGUCCAGCACCUAACGUUUUUCACAGGCGUGUUGGGACACACGCUUGGGCACAGACUCUUUAGGUUAUUGAGGAUGCGCAUUGGUCGCGGUGCUGUUGAACAACAGUGAUUAAGGGCUCAGAGGAAAAGCUGAGUCACCCCAAGGGCAUGCUGCUGCCUACCAGCCGGGAGCCGCGCGGGGAAUUUGCCUGGCACAGGCUCACAACACGUGAACCAACAUCCUCAUGUGACACGAUUCGGCAAGUGCUGUGCUGCCGACUGUGCUUCCUUCCGAGAUCCCUGGCCUUGACAAAAGCGGAAGGCAGAAGACCCUGACAAUCUCGCCCUGGCGUCAGGCUGGGCUCCGUGCACCCUCAGGCUCUGAGAUCCUGCUCUGUAGCCCUGACGCCACCAGAAAAUCCUGGUUUCUGUAUUUACCCAUCUCAGGGCUUUGAUUUAAGGUUCUCCCAGGUGUCUGUGUCAAAACACUUUUUGGGACCUCCUGCACAGCUUCUCAAGCUGAGGUGGACACCAGGGCUCAGGCCUUGAGUGCUACGAGUUACCCAACCAUCAGCAUCGCUCCUCGUGGUGGAGCUGAGGUUCCAUCCUGCAAAUCUGAAUUGCAACUGCAGCUCCCACAACGUGCGUGUUCCUGCUCCAUCUCAGCCCUGAUGAGCAGCAAACACAGAGGGAAGAGAGGGGGCAGGGAGGCAGAAUUUAUGUAAUUACCUGCAAGAACCUUUCUGCCUCUGCAUUGAAUGGAGAAACCAGAACACAGCCAAGGUUUCUGCAAGCUGGGCAAACAUCCCAACCAGAGAAGGCUUUCUUGAAACUCCACUCUUCCAGGCGGUGCCUUUCUUGGCUGUUGCUUUGGCAGCACCCGGCCAGAAUGUCUGGAGGCUGUUACAGGGCAGGACUGCUGCCUCCUCUGUUUUCUUAUGAAAUACACCCACAAAGCAACCUGCAGAGGCUCCAGUCUGCCAAAUCAAAGGGAUCGCACUUGUCCCAGGGCUACACACUCAGCAGCAUUCCAAGCAAAGCUGCAUUUCUAAAACCUGGGCUGCAGAAAUUAAAGGCACAGGCGGCCUUUCCUUCCCCCAUCCCCACUAACUGGAUCCCAUCCUAUCCCCGCUUUGCUACCCGGUUCCCCAAAAUCACAAGGAACGAAGCAAAUCAACAACUUUUCCAGCCUGCACCAAAAUCCUGGCCCCUGCAGCCACGGUUGGUAUUGAUUCCCCAGCGCCAGGUCCCUUGUGAUUAUGCUCUCCCACACAAUCAGAUUAAGGCUGUCUCUUCUCCCUUUCCAGCUUUAUUAAUGUGAAGAUUUUGUACUUUUUUUAAGCACAUCUCUUUUCUCCUUGAUCUUUCUCAGUGUUCUCUGCAUGGGCAGAGGGGAAUGGGCGAGUGUCCCCUCCUCAGCAGAGAUUCCCAGAGUGACCCUCCCUGGGGGAAGGGAGCAGGGGCCGGCGUGGAGCAUCUGCACGCCUUGGCAUCGCUCUAUCUGCAACGGCUUCUGACUGAGCCUGCUCGUCAGCGGAGAGGGACCAGAGGGCUCACAUCCCUCUUGUGAAACAGGUGGAAGCCUCCACCGAGCCAAGGGCUUGGGAAGGAGCAGGGGAAAUACUUUUUCAAGGGUUUGGAUUUCUGUACCGCAGGUCGGACUCAUUGCCGUUUGGUUUUCUUCACAGAGGUGACCGAGUUAGGAACACAGCUUCUGUGGACCCUUUCUAGCACCCAUGGGUGGUAAGGGACACCUUCAAAGGGCGGUUCAUCCCACUCCAUCUCUUCUCCAUUGGAUGCUGAGGACACCUGGGAACCACUUCUCUCCAGGCAUCUCAGAUCCACUUAUGCAGCCUCUUAAGGUGCAGUGCCCAGAAGCAGAUACAGGCACACUCAAUGAGUAUUUCAAUUUUCAGAAUUGAAACUUUCUCUUGAAAUUCGUCUUUGCUGAAGAAAAGCACCAGUACUGAGGGGAACACAUCAUCUCAAGAAGCUGCUUCAGGUGAAAAAUGUUGACCAGCUCUCCAGUUUUCUGUUACUUUAAGGCCUGAGCAUUUUUUCUGCCACAUUAGUGGGUCAUAAACCAAGUCCCUCCAAGAUUUUGUUUUCUUUUCUCUUUUGGCUCUUUCUUUUUCUCUCCUUUUCAAGGUGGAAGCAGGUUAUCUGAGAGAAAGGAGACGAUACAGGGCAGCAUCGUAGAGACCGUGCUAGGCUUUGGAACCUGCAUAAAAGCUGUGGAUUUCAAAAGAGCGGGAGGAUGAGGGUGGAAGGAAAGGAAGAAAAACUGGCAAAGAAAGGUACCAAAUAGAAAGCCCUUGUCCCAGAGUGUGUGCGGUGUAAGGCUGAAUCCGGCCUGGCACAGCAGAGCUGUCCUCACAGCCACUUCUCUCCCAGCCACGAGCCUCAGCUUCAAAGCCGGCGUGGACAGGGAAGUUCUUUAGUCUGCGGUCCCGGGAGCCCUCGGGAAGGAUGAGGCAGCAAAGCCAGACUGUCCUUCCCUUCACACUGCGAGGCCCUCCAGGCUGGAGCCCAUGAAUGGCGAUCUCCUCCCAAGAGAGCUUUGAGUGUAGCAGAUCCUACCAUCCAGUUGAUGAUUAUCUUUUGGCCUAAGCUGGCCAAGGCUGGUGUUCUAAUGUCAAGGGCUAUAGCAGAAAACUCAGCACCUCGCUCAAGAAGAGCCUGAACGACACAAAGUGUUAGCGAGGACCACACUGAAACGCCUGCCCGUGGCUUGAUCCAGAAGGGUGAUGGCUUGUUUUCCAGGAGACCCAAUGCCAUUCAUGCUGUCAUCCUGCUCUGGGACCUGCAGAGUCUGCAACGGUUUGAUAGUUAACAAGAAAGCUAAAAAAAUCCAGCCCAAGAGCAAAACCUUUCAGUGCCUUCCAACAGCCACAAGUGGUGAAUAUCCUGGGAGAGCUGGACUGUAAUUCCUGCUAGCUUAGCAUCAAAGGAUGCUCCGAAACUUUACCUUCCUGGUGACAUCUCUUCUUCCCAAUGAAAGAUGACCCAGGUGACCUUUGAUUGAAUGUCUUGAUAGUCCAGAAGGCAGGGAGCAAGAUAAUUAGAGCCAUAACAUCUGAUCACAGGAGAGAGGUGAAGGCAAGGUAGGGGCAGAACAAAGCUGCUUUUCAAUAGCGGGUGUGACUGUGGCGCUGGUCACGGAGGGGCUGGGGAGGGGACAGGAGCAGGGUUUAAGAGGGGGGUUAAGUAGCUUAUUUUUGAAUAAAAGGUGGAGGAAGCUGGUUGUUAUCUUCUCAGUGCCAUUCAGGCUGCAGGUGUGACUUAAUCUUCUGCGGGGCAGAUGGGUGCUCUGGGUGUCAGCAUCUUCCCCAGGUCUGCAGGAGACCCCAUGGUCCCAGCCACUGACUUUGGUGCACAGGUACGGCAUCGCCUUUCCGUGGGCCAAGGUGUUUGGUUGCCGUGUUUUACAGACGGGGAAGCUGACACAUAAGCCCCACUUGGCCCAGGCUCACUCCUUUGCCCUGACAUAGGUGGGAAUUUCAACCCAAGUUUCUCAGAUUUCAGCAUCUGGCAUUCAAAAGCCUGUAAAUCCUUUCUCUCUCCCCAAAAUCACAAGACCUUUUUAAGGCCCACUUCUUUCGGGUGUUUUCUCAGUGUCCGUAAGCCUCAUCUCCAACCCUUGGAGAUGCCAGAAAGACAAAGUCUCUCAACAGAUGUCUCCGGCAGCCGGGGCUUUCAGGGCCAGCAUGAGUCUCAUGAUGCAAUUUCAGGAUGCGGCAACAACACGCCCUGUGCCCCACUAUCCCAGCAUUGAUUCUUGAUGGACAUCCUUGCACCCAUGGAAGUCCUUCCCUAAGGCUCAUUUCCCCCACUGACCUUUUCACAGCUCCCGCUUCACCCUAUCCUCCCCAGCUCCAUUCAACACAGAGCUCUCACGGGCAGGGCAGCAGAGCCCAGCGUUCUCCCAGUGCCAGAUCAAGGCUGUUGUGAGCCGUCACCUGGAACCUCACUGUCUCAUUCAUUCAAAUCCAAUCUCUUUAGAUCCUUGUCUUUUUUUCCUCCUCAAGACAAGGAGCAUUAAGUGAAAAAUGAUGAAAGGUCCCAGUCGUGCAGCUGAAAGCUCCCGCUUCCUCUUUGCUGCUCCUUUCUUUCCCCAGUUUUUUUGGAGCCCAGCAAGCAUCCACGCAAGUGCAAAAUUAUUUCCAUGCCGGGCUUCGGUCACGUUAAAGCUCCACGGCUGCUGGUGCGCAAGUCCCUGCACAGCUCUCGAACAAAUUGGACCAAUUUGGAGUGAUUAGUGAAGAAUUCACAUAUGGUGCCCAGCCAGCGUGGACCAAUUGCCUCCUGCAGCCCAUUAGGAGCCAUUUACUGUGAUGGGCCCAUUUGUCUUUGUUGUUAGUUCUGGCAGGGCCAGUGACAGAUCCUUGGCUGGCCACUGGGCCAACCUCUCCCUGACAUCACUGCAGGGGUAAGAGGGCAAGGCUGAGACACGCAUCGAGUCUGACACCGGCUGAUGGAUGUCCCAAGGAGCCGUGCCAGGCAGGGCUGUGGGGCCUUCCUGAGGAAUGGGAAGAGCAGUUGCCAUUUGGGGUUGCAUCUUGGGUACUGAUGGCAGCAUGCAACCAUGGGGUGGAUGCGAGGCCUUCUCUGCCACUGGCUACCACGGCUGUGAUGUGACAACAUGUGGCUGGAGAGAGAGGGACAGACUGUUCCCCAGGUGCUAAAUGUGUCCUGAUGCAUAUGGAGGCUUGGAAGUUGAAGCCCACGAUCCUUGAGGGCCAAACGAUGGUCAAAGCAAGCCUGACACAGGCAUGGUCCUCCAGCUUCUUGUGGCUCCAGCAAAUGUGGGAAGAAAGAAGCAGCAAAGAGCAGGACACUAGAUUUCACUGUUAUGAGAGCUGAGCAGCAGGAGCCGUUGACUGUGGGCACGUUUCUGGUGGCAAGAGACAUGUACCGCUGCCAUAGUGGUUCUGAUGAAGGAAGGGGAGCGAGCCGUGCUGGUUAAGGUCUGAGGGCACCACUGUGACUAUAACUGGACCAGUGGUUGUACGUACUGACCGCAGAGGUGAAAAUUCAUACCCUCCAACUGACACAGCCCAAAACUGUCAACAGAGUGGAGAAUCAAACCCAGUUCCAGGUUAAAUCUGAGCGCAUUUUUCAAGUUCGGGUUAAGACACCUGGAAAACAUGAUGCAAAGGAUGAGCCAGCUUGGAGAGACUGCCCGUAGUUAGAGCUUUGCAACUGUCUGUUGUUUUCACUCUCUGGCGGCUCAAGGAUUUUCCCUCCUUUGUUUGGGUGAAUCCAAAAAGAAUUCUGUGUGGGAGUAAAAGAUAAAGGAGAGAAUUGGUGCCAACGGACACUUUUCUUUCAAUAAUGAAGAUUUUGAGGAGUACCUAAUUUCUGUGUGCAAUCAAUCUUUUAAUGGUACGUGGUUUGGGAUGGGAAGAAAACUAGAAGACCUUAAUAUCAUGAACAAAAUAUCUUCAUUCUGUAAACUAUUGCUAUGAUGAAAGUGGUGACCUGGAACUGCCUGAGACUCUGUGACUGAUGGGAAGUUACAAGUAUUCAUGAACCAGACGUAUCUCUCUGCCUCCUGCCGGUGCCCAGGUAUUCUCCGAAAUGGCACUUACAAAGUUUGACCUGGUUUUAACCUUCUUAUAAAGAAAAAAUAAACUACUCCUGCCCCCCUCCACAGUAGUCAACUUUCUCUGGCAAAGCUGAGCGGUAUUUUAAUUCGGGCCCCUUUGACAAUGCCAGCCCUGAGCCCUUGUGUGCUGACAGCCCCUAUUGUGUCCGUCCGGGGAAAUUAAGGCUCUGAUCCAGAGCUUUUAAACUUCUUGGACUGACAGGGACUCUGAAGUGAGACCCAGUCAGUGCUCUUUAAAGGGGAGACAGAGGUGCUCCAAGGUUUCCAUCCCAGGCCACAGGGCACCAGGACACCUGGGGCCAUUCUGAGCAGUUUGGAGACUGCUAUUUAGCCGUCGCCUCGGCAAUUUGGGCUAUUUGAGGAAUUGGGGUCAAUUAUAACCAGCCUUCACCUGCCUCGCUUCCACAGAGAACUGGAGCCAGAUGGCAGCCUGUAGGACCAGCCUCUCCAUUCCCAUCCCCGCUGGACAGAUGAACUUGCAGUUACACACCAUUUGGCGUUGGUUUCAAUACAAUAGAGGUGGAACAAGGGAAAAAGGAGCCAUCCAUUCUGGUAUAAACCCAUUUGCUUAAUGUCUUACACAGCAUUGAUCUCCGUGGAUGCAAGGACGCUGACCCCAACCAUCCCCAAAUCCCCUCUGUUGUUUCUCCCCAUGUUACAAGGCUGGUAGGUGAGUUCAGGGAUUCGGGCUGGAAUUUCAUGACCACUUUGAGGUUAAACCUGCUGUAAAUCUGGGCCUAUCCAGCCUGCUGCUUCUCAAAAGGGUUUUCCAGUUGCACAAGUGUAUGUAAAGGUUUGUCUACGGGAAUCAGGCUCUGAAACGCCAUCUCUGCUUUCAGUAAUCUCCUAGUGGACUCCAUCAACCCUGUUGUGUCUUGCCCACCAAAUUCCCAUGAUGCGAUGUCAUCCUUUUCUUUAUUGUUGUUCUGAUUAAUGAUGCUGUUUCUUAUUGCUUUGUAGAGCAUGGUGAGACCAAGUUGAGUCUGUGGGCCUCCCCAGGGCUCCCUGUCCACUCCUCAGAGUGCCCCAAUGGCUUCACCGCAGGGAAUGCUUUGGGUUUAGGAGACUCUUACCAAAAAAUGUCGAUUAUAGAGCAUCGCCCCGGAGUUCAGACACCUUGAGAGUGCUGAGCACAGCGAGAGAAGGAUCGAAACCACACAGCUGGGCUGGGAUUUAACAGCAUCUCCCUGCGCAGGGCAGGGCUUUUGUCCUUCCUCAGCCUCCAUCCACAGCUAUUUGAGCUCUGCAAGCUCAGAAACCAGCCUUUGUCACAAAAUCACCUUUGUCCUUCAAGCCGCAAACCUCCACCCCAUGUGCCCCAUGGUCAAAGCUUCCGAGGAGCCCUGAGGGUGGGACACCACGCACUGAGCCGGUUCCAAUGCCACAGCUAGGAAAGGUGACAUUUGGGCCAAGGGGAGGGAGUGGAGGCGGUGGCUCUGGACGGGAGAUCUCAAGUCUCAGGUGCCUCCUCAUGGCUUCUUUGCAACUGAGUGUGUGAUGGUGCUCUUCCAUGAAGUCCUGCCUGCUCUGCCCUCUCCACCACCCUGGCAGGGCUGCAGGUCUUUCCAGCCUCCGCGCCUCCCUGUGUGACUAAGAGGGCUGGCUGGCUCCCAGGGGUGUCAGUCUGGGACCCCAAACAACCCCAGGGAGCCAAGAGGAACAGGAAAGCCCAGAGGCUCCUUCCUCGUCCCUCUCCUCCUCCUCCUUAUCGCCUGCCAGCUGCCUUCCCGGGCCAAGGGGUGGCCCUGGGUGGCCCCAUCUCCAGUUGGCCCAGCCGGGAACGGCCGCUCCCGAUUACUCAUGGGGAUGAUGUGGGGGGAUGCAGGGGCGGAAAGUUGGAGUAAAUGGAAAGUGGGCACUUGCCUCUGACUUCGUCCUCCCAUCGGCGCAGCUGGAGCUGAGCUCAGCCAGACGCCCUGGCGCGAGGUGGCGGGUGGCAGGCAGCUGGCGAGGGGACACGGCGCUCAGCCUUGCAUCUCGAUUCCAGGCCAGGACCGGCUGCUGGGGGACACGGAGGUGAGAACCACCGUGCAGCCAGAGAUGCACUGCUCUGUACACGCACACAUGCAGCAGUGCCUCCAACAUCAGCCCAUGCAGAGCUGUGCUCGGAUGCUCGUGUUCAGCCCUGCCUGGGUGACUGUCACCCACUGGUGGGGUUCUCUGCCCCCCAGGAGAGGUGCUCAUGGCUCCAGCAUCUCAGCCAACUCCUUGAGGGGGGAAGAUGCUGCAAAGAGGAGGGUGAUGGGGCACAGGAGCUGAAAGACAGGGGUCUGAAUUCAAGUUACAGCUGAGAGAAACCUCAUUUCCCUGCUGUUUGCACUGAAAACUGGCUGAAGGCGUGUCUUCUGGACAGCUUCCGAGGUAUCUAUAUGGACAUGUCUUCACCCCAUGCCCUGGGACUCCCCCUCAGUCUCUCCACCCAUCCCUCUGCCGUGGAGGGGCUCUUUCUUCCCAGACUCCUGUUAUGACAAAACCCCAAAGGUGAAGUGAAGGAAAAUGUGCCCUGCUUGUGCUGGAGGUUGCCUGAAAAUCUUCCUGCCAUCCUGGGGUCCUCCAGUGCUCUGAGCCCUUCUCCAGCUCGGGUGGUACAAAGCCACCUUGAAACCAAAUCCACGCACGGCCCAUAAUGAUGAUCACCCACUCUGAGCUUCCAAAACCACUUGAUUAUCCAUAUUUCCCAGCAGCAGGGCUUCCUGGCGUGAUGGAAAUGACGGAAAUGAAUUUGGAGGUCAUGUUGCCACCAUAUCAAAUAUUCCCCAAUCCUUCUUUGCAGGCUAGGGAAAGGUCCACCUCCCACCUCCAAUGCUCUUCAGAGCACCCAGAUUUACUGAUGUUCGUGUUCAAAACUUCUCCUGUGUUGAAAGAUGGAUUUUCCUACCCAAGCUGAGUUUCCAUGAGGGUGUCCAUAGAUUGGACGGGAAGGACCAGAGGCUGGAGAGCUCAGGGAUGCUGGCAUCUUUCUUGCAGCGAUCUAUGUUUACAGAAAAUACAUCAUCCAAGAAAAAUCUUGUGACGUGAAGGGCUUGGGCUGACUCUGAGGGUGCGAGACGUGGACCCUCACAGUUUUCAAGAUCUCAAAGUGAGGGCAAAUCCAGAUGGUGAGAGGGGAGCUGCAAGCCACGAAAAUCCCAUAUUCCACAUGAAUGCUCAAACUGCUGGUUAUUAUGGGAUGGACACAUACAUCUCUGCAAUUUUUUAAGGAGAAAUUCUGCCCAGGUCAAAGUGAACAGAUACAUUACUGGCAAAAAUCAUUAUUUCCAAUGAAUCAACAUUUUCCUGUUAAAAUGAACCAAAACCAAACACUUCCAGACCCUCCCUUGGUCCCUUUUGCUGCUCAGGACUCAGCACAAGGCGAGGUGGCAGCUGGACUCAAACCCACAGGCACGUCUUGGGCUACAAACUGGAUGAAAUUGGACCCCUGGAGAGCCCAGCUGUGACCAGGUGGAAUUUUCCAAACCAACAGCAAGAUAAAAGCCGGUCCAGCCCCGCGCCAGCAAAUCUCCACCGGGGCUGUUCAAAGGGAGCGAUGCCCGUGGUGCCGCCCACCCUCCCGCGACCAAGAGGAGGGAGAGGAAGUUUUGCUCCACUCCAGCAACAGGGACAGGACAGGACGGGAGGAGUGUCAAGCUGGAAAAGCCAAGUGGAUGUUCCGCCUGGUGCCGACCCGCAGCCAAAGUCCGAGUGAUGGAGUUUCAGGUGAGUGGAAAGAAAGGAAACAAAACUGAGGGUCUGAUAAUUUUUGGAGUACCCCAAAGGGUUUUGAUGACAUCAGAGAAGAUGCUUUGGCAGAGCCACCUUCUCACUGCGGGGGAAGCCAUGGAAGGGGAGGCGAGGGGGCUCGGGCUGUGGCACGUCCCCAUCUCCGGCAGGACAGCGUUGGGCCCAGGUGCUCCCCAUCUCCCUGAGUUAAGGGUGAUGGGAAAGCAAUGAGGAUUUAAAAACCUCUUUAACUGGCGAUCUUGUCAAAUUAGUGGGGCAAGGCGCUGAGGCCGACACUAAUGAAUGCAAUAAUUGAUCAAAUAUGUUGUAUUUCUGCCUAGCACGUUCACACCUUCCCCAAAGGUUUCCAGAUGGGGUGUAAUUAUCCCCCAAACUGGCUUCACACGCCAGGGCACAAGGGGAGCAACAGUGACAUGGGGAAUUUAGACAGCAGAAAAUUGCUCCCGCAAUUAAUCCCAGGCACUUAAUAAACUCACCACAGAAUAGCGGGGAUGGUGAGAGACCCUCUCGGGUCUGGCCCCCAGCUGGGGGUGGGGGUGGAAAUUUUCAGCCCUUGUGCAUUAUGGGGUAGUGAAGCCAGCGCUGGUUUUGCUCCUCUCUGAAUGAGAUGCAGGAAGGGAGCAUUUCCCCGCUUCUUUGCUCCCUCAUUCACUUCACCCAAGGGCCAAAGUGAUGUAAAUCCGGGGGGACCCUUUGCCCUUCGGUGCUGAAUCGCUGCUGAUUUACACCAGAGUCCUUUCAUUCCUUUGAUUUCCAGCUGUGAAAAUCAAACCCAGACCAAAUCCAUGUCCUGGAAAAUACUUCAAUUUCAAAACAAAAUAUUUGCUGCCUUGAAGAGGGCUGAAGCUGAGUGGGGGGAUUGUUUGGGUUAAGGAUUUUAACUUCGAUAUGAUUUCAUCUCAGCUCAAACUAGCGAUGAAGCAGGGCCCAAAUCCUGGCCGGUACGGUGGCUCAGCCGGGGCACGGCCACCGUACUGCCCACGGCCACUGGGGCUGCAGCCGCUGGGACAGCCAGUGCUGAGCAUCUUUACGCAGAAAACCCCUCCUGACUGCAGUUGUCGGAGUUCUGCAAAGUUAAAGGAAGGGGAAAUAUAAUGUGAACUUUCGCUUGUGCCCCUCUGAAACCUCCCCAUCAAAGCUGGGUUCCAGACACUCCUGUGAUGGCCACAUUGCUGUCACCUCCCGGUGUCCCCAGGGCCACCUCUGUGCUUCAGGUCACCUCCCCAUCAGUGGCUCCCAUCUGGCUUCGCUCACACAGUGAUUCAUUGCAA